CUGAAAUUGACUAGUUUUGUUCAAAAACUGUUUAUAAAUUCAAAACUAAAACCGUUUAAAUUGAUAACGGUUUUGAGCCUUGAUUAUAAUAUUUUUCCUAGAUUCGUGUUUAAACCAGGUUUAUGUUUUAACAAGUUUCAUUAAGAUGUUAAAUAACGAACAAUAUAUAUUACUUUUAAAAAUGAAUGAUGUUUAAGUUGUG